UACGGAAGGCAGCAGUGGGGAAUAUUGCACAAUGGGCGCAAGCCUGAUGCAGCCAUGCCGCGUGUAUGAAGAGGGCCUUCGGGUUGUAAAGUACUUUCAGUCGUGAGGAAGGUGUUAAGGUUAAUAACCUUAGCAAUUGACGUUAGCGACAGAAGAAGCACCGGCUAACUCCGUGCCAGCAGCCGCGGUAAUACGGAGGGUGCGAGCGUUAAUCGGAAUUACUGGGCGUAAAGGGCACGCAGGCGGUUAAUUAAGUUGGAUGUGAAAUCCCCGGGCUUAACCUGGGAAUGGCAUUCAAGACUGGUUAGCUAGAGUCUUGUAGAGGGGGUAGAAUUCCAUGUGUAGCGGUGAAAUGCGUAGAGAUGUGGAGGAAUACCGGUGGCGAAGGCGGCCCCUGGGACAAAGACUGACGCUCAUGUGCGAAAGCGUGGGGAGCAAACAGGGCUUAGAUACC
rnacentral:rRNA from 1 species